rnacentral:piRNA from 1 species
UGGAUUAAAAUUCCUCUACACUAGUGU